ACUCGAAGACGAUCAGAUACCGUCGUAGUUCCAACCGUAAACGAUGCCGACUGGCGCUCCGUCGGCGUUCGCUUCGAUGACCCGGCGGGGAGCCUGCGCGGGAAAACCAUAGUCGGU
rnacentral:ncRNA from 1 species